rnacentral:rRNA from 1 species
CCUACGGGAGGCAGCAGUGAGGAAUAUUGGUCAAUGGGCGAGAGCCUGAACCAGCCAAGUCGCGUGAGGGAGUACUGCCCUAUGGGUUGUAAACCUCUUUUGUCGGGGAGCAAAAGCCGGACGUGUCCGGCUGUGAGAGUACCCGAAGAAAAAGCAUCGGCUAACUCCGUGCCAGCAGCCGCGGUAAUACGGAGGAUGCGAGCGUUAUCCGGAUUUAUUGGGUUUAAAGGGUGCGCAGGCGGGUGUUUAAGUCAGCGGUAAAAUCGUGGGGCUCAACCCCAUCCAGCCGUUGAAACUGGGGAUCUAGAGUGUGCGAGAGGUAUGCGGAAUGCGUGGUGUAGCGGUGAAAUGCAUAGAUAUCACGCAGAACCCCGAUUGCGAAGGCAGCAUACCGGUGCACAACUGACGCUCAGGCACGAAAGCGUGGGUAUCGAACAGGAUUAGAUACCCCAGUAGUC